GCCGGCACUCUCGCUCUCUUUCUUUCUCUGGGAGCCUCCACGGUGGUCGGGUCUGCGGGCGUGAAUGGCUGCAGGAGCUGGGCCCAGGAUGUCACUGCUUUCUCUGCUUAUUCCCGGCGGCACGCUCUCCCGGGCCUGCUGACAGCCAGCUGUUGAAGGUGUGUCUGACUGGAGGGAAACAGCAGUCUUGGAACCAGUCGCUGCCUGGUUUGAGUGACGUUUGUUUCCUUCACCUGAUGAGCGACCUGUGACCUUCAGAUGAUCCUUCAAAAUGUGUCUCUGGCACAUGAGGGAUCUGAAGAUGCAACCCGGCCAGAGCGACCUGUUUUGAACCCACUCCCUGCCCACCACACACUGACGGACCAGGACAAACAAGUGGGAGGAAACCAGAGUGCCAGGAGGAAAUCCCUCCAAACACAGGGAAACAAAUCCAAUACAAACAGCGCACAGAAAGGACAACGUUUCACACAAAACAGUUGCUUCAAGCUGCAUUCAAACCCGCGACCUUCCUGCUGUGAGGCUGCAGCACUAACCACUGCCCCACACUGCUGCCUGUGAUGGACUUUUAUAUUCUUCAGUUCAUUUGCUAUUAAAAGUGAAAAAGAAAAAAUGACCACGAGGAGUAAAAGUUACACUGAGUAGGAUAAUGUACCUUUACGUUUUCAUACUUGUUUUGGGAACAUUUUUCUGGACUAAUCUCUGACAAUCCGGACGAAAGAAAACAUGGGAUUUCUUUGUUUUUCUCUUAAAGUUGGAGCAUAUCCAUGACAACACUGACAUUUCUGCUUGUUAUGCAAGCCAGUGUGUGAUCCCUGCGAAUUAGUAUGUUUGUUUUAGUGUGUGUGUGAGUGUGUGUGUGAGUGUGUGUGUGUGUGUGAGUUCUGGAGCGGGGGUGACAUAUGCGUGUACUCACCUGCCUAUCUGCCUAUUCCAGAAGCCCUGAGCAAUCUCGUGUAGUAUCGCACGCAGCCUCUCUACUCCCACACAAGACCUGCGGCAACAGUGCGGCCACUUAAAAACGUACAAGGCAAACCCCAAAUUAACUCUUAAUACUAUUUUCUCCAGGUGCAAGUAACAGCAGAUCCACUCCAAACUCCGUCGCACUCAAAAGUAAGAUAUGUAAUGUUUAUAUUUUCUCUAAACUAUCAGCCGAAUUAAGCUCAUAUUUAGGCAUUUCUGAGGUCCAGAAUAUUGUUGAUGCAACAGGAAUUCAUUUUUAUAACAUUUGGCCUCGAGUGAGUUAAAUUGUUUGCUUCAAAGGAAAAAAAGAUGUUGCUCCUGAAACCAGUCGUAUCUUGAUGAAAUAAUGACAUGAUGUAUUUUUAUAGUGCCAGAUAAAACAUGCUGUUUGAGGAAUGUUUGACAAUAAAAGUGCCACAUUAAUAAUAAUUCUAUCAUUUAAAAUGUUUUCUGUAUCACCACAGAGAUCACAGCAAUGAAUUAUAUAUAAAGUUCAUAAUUAUGAAUAUAAUGAAUUAAAAAUGUUUUUUUAAUUAUAAAUAUGUUACUGUCUUCUGUUGUUGUCACACUGAAUAUAUUUAUGUUGGCUAAAGCUAUUUGUGUGAGUCGGUUUUCUGUUUCAAGUCAAUAAAAGUUCACCUCAGCAGUUUUGUUUUAUCGUACUUCAAAUUAUUGUAUCGUCUUGAAACCAAAAGUAAAAGACAAAAAGAUACAAUAUUUCAAACAAGUUUAUCUAUAAUGUAUGGAGUUUUAGUUAU